AUUAAUAAAAUUAUUUUUUUUUUUUGUUUUAUUUUUUAAAAAAAGUUUUUUUUUUGUUUAUUAAAAUUUUUUAAAAUAAUUUCUUUUUUAUAGUUAAUUUUACUGAAAAGGUUAUUUUUAAAAUUUAUAUAAGAAUACUUUUUUGUAGUACCUUUUGUGUCAGGGUUAAUUAAUUUUAAAAAAUUUAAAAAUUUUUUUCUCGAAGUUUUAUGAUUUAAGUUGAAUGGUUUUUUAAUGUUUAAUAAUUAAAUAUAAAUUCGUCUUAGUUUUGAAAAGAAAGUUCGUUUAAUUUGAUAUCUAGUUAACUAAGAAUUUAAUAUAAUUAAUGAAUUCUUUUUGAAAAAAUUAUUUUAAAAUUUUCAUUUUGAUUUCUAAUUUUAAUAGGGAUAAGCUUGUUAAAUUUAUAUAAUUUUAUUUAUAAUUAUUUUUUUUGGGUUUAGUAUUUGUCUUAAAAAUAAGUUUGUAAAAAAUUUAAAUAAAUAUAUUUACAUUUUAUUUAUAUUUAAGCAAUUUAUUUGUUUAUUAGUUUUUAAGUUUUAAUUUAAUAAUUUUUAAAAAUUAUUAAAUUAGUAAAAUAAAAAUUUUUUGGUAUGAAUUCGGCAAAAUUUUAUUUUUCACCUGUUUAUCAAAAACAUGUCCUGAUGAAUUUAUAUUAGGUCAGUCCUGCUCAGUGAAGAUUUAACAGCCGCAGUAUUUUAACUGUGCAAAGGUAGCAUAAUAAAUAGUCUUUUAAUUGAGGUCUGGAAUGAAUGGUCAGAUGAAAAAAUAACUUUAUUUAAAAAAUUUUUUUUGAAUUUUAUUUUUAAUUUAGAAAGAUUAAAUUUUUUUGAGUGACGAUAAGACCCUAUAGAUCUUAAUAAUUAAUUUUAUUAUUUUUUUUGAUUAGUAAUUUCAGUAAUAAAAAUUUAAUUUUUUUGUUGGGGUGAUAAUUAAAAUUUUAAACUUUAAUUUUUUUUUACAAUUUUUUUUGAAUAUUUUGAUCCUUUUUAAAGAUAUAAAGAUAAAGAUACCUUAGGGAUAACAGCGUAAUAAAUUUGGAGAGUUCAAAUCGAUAAAUUUGAUUGCGACCUCGAUGUUGGAUUAAUUUAAAGUUGUGGGGUAGAUUUUACAAUUUUAGGUCUGUUCGACCUUUAAAAAAUUACAUGAUCUGAGUUCAAACCGGUGUGAGCCAGGUUGGUUUCUAUCUUCUUAAAUAUUUUAAUUAGUACGAAAGGACUUUUAAGAUAUAAAAUUUAUUA
rnacentral:rRNA from 1 species